UCCGGUGACGAUAAUGAAGAGGAUACACCCGUUCCCAUCCCGAACACGGCAGUUAAGCUCUUCGAUGCUGAAAAUACUUAGCGGGUGACUGCUUGGGAAGAUAGGAAGUUGCCGGGA
rnacentral:rRNA from 1 species